AACGAACGCUGGCGGCAGGCUUAACACAUGCAAGUCGAACGCCCCGCAAGGGGAGUGGCAGACGGGUGAGUAACGCGUGGGAACAUACCCUUUCCUGCGGAAUAGCUCUGGGAAACUGGAAUUAAUACCGCAUACGCCCUACGGGGGAAAGAUUUAUCGGGGAAGGAUUGGCCCGCGUUGGAUUAGCUAGUUGGUGGGGUAAAGGCCUACCAAGGCGACGAUCCAUAGCUGGUCUGAGAGGAUGAUCAGACACAUUGGGACUGAGACACGGCCCAAACGCCUACGGGAGGGAGCAGUGGGGAAUAUUGGACAAUGGGCGCAAGACUGAUCCAGCCAUGCCGCGUGAGUGAUGAAGGCCUUAGGGUUGUAAAGCUCUUUCACCGAUGAAGAUAAUGACGGUAGUCGGAGAAGAAGCCCCGGCUAACUUCGUGCCAGCAGCCGCCGUAAAAC
rnacentral:rRNA from 1 species